rnacentral:rRNA from 1 species
GAUGAACGCUAGCGGCAGGCUUAACACAUGCAAGUCGAGGGGUAACAGGAGUAGCAAUACUUGCUGACGACCGGCAAACGGGUGCGGAACACGUACAGAACCUACCUUUGUCUGGGGCAUAGCCCGGAGAAAUCCGGAUUAACUCCCCAUAAUAUAUAUGAGUGGCAUCACUUGCAUAUUAAAAAUUUAUUGGACAGAGAUGGCUGUGCGUCCCAUUAGCUGGUUGGUAGGGUAACGGCCUACCAAGGCAACGAUGGGUAGCUGGUGUGA